UAUUGCACAAUGGGGGAAACCCUGAUGCAGCGACGCCGCGUGGAGGAAGAAGGUCUUCGGAUNGUAAACUCCUGUUGUUGAGGAANNUANNNANGGUACUCAACAAGGAAGUGACGGCUAACUACGUGCCNNNANCUGCGGUAAAACGUAGGUCACAAGCGCUGUCCGGAAUUACUGGGUGUAAAGGGAGCGCAGGCGGGAAGACAAGUUGGAAGUGAAAUCCAUGGGCUCAACCCAUGAACUGCUUUCAAAACUGUUUUUCUUGAGUAGUGCAGAGGUAGGCGGAAUUCCCGGUGUAGCGGUGGAAUGCGUAGAUAUCGGGAGGAACACCAGUGGCGAAGGCGGCCUACUGGGCACCAACUGACGCUGAGGCUCGAAAGUGUGGGUAGCAAACAGG
rnacentral:rRNA from 1 species